rnacentral:lncRNA from 1 species
UUUUACGCACCCAAAACAACCUUAGUACUCUAAGGGAGCCCUUUUUGCAAAUGUGUGUUGUAGGUUGGUAUUUGUGAAAAUAUGUGCAAUAGAUUGGGGGGAUGAUAAGAGAAUAUUAUAUUUACAAAUUUUGUUGUUUGAAUGGAUGAACCCAUUGCCUACGUACCAUCACAAAGGUAGGAUCAAAACCUCGUAGUUCGGGGUAAAAAUCUCAAAAGAUUGGUGAGUUGAUUUGUCCAAAAGCCUUAAAGGUCUUUUUUUAUCAAAGGGAGAAGACUCAACCGAAACCAACUAUCCACCACGUGAGGAGAUUCAACAUACUAGUGAGGGGUUAACCCUAUAUUAAGUAUGGAAGACUUAUAGUCCAAUCACUAAGGAUAAGGUGAGGUUUACAUCAACCACUAUGAUAAAUCAAACCUAUGACUAAUGUUUAUGAAAAGUUUUAACAAAGGUUGCCAUUGGAACCACAAAAUCAACUUAAAGUGAAUUGUACUUACCAGUUAUAUUUUUUUACAAAAUGAAGUCAAAGUUGAAUUAGCAUUUAUUCACAAUGAGUAUUAAUGAAAAGAUUUUGAAAAGUCAAAGGCCUAAGGCAUAUGUUUCUAAUUUGAAAAUAAUAUCAAAGUUUGCACAAAAUGAGUUUGGCUUGGGUUAGAGUGAGGAGAAGAAGAGAAGGGUUAGUCCUAAAACAUACAAAGAUAAGAGAAGAGAUAAAACCCUUGGAGUUCCUUUUCUUGAAAUCAUAAAGAUGAUUCAAGAUGCUCCUUUCCUUUGGACUUAGCAAACAACAAGCAAUCACAUAAUGUUAGAUUCAAGCUCCUAGGAUUUCCAAUUGGCUUGUAUCUUUUAACUGGGCUACUCAUGACAAUGGUCCUUCUAACUAUCUCAAGAUGGAAUCCCUAUCACACAAGACGAAACAUCAAAAAUCUCACAACACAAUAAGGGAAAUGGACAAAGAAUGAGUUUAGAUUAGGAAGUCUUUUGAAGUCAACUUUCAAAUUUAGCAUUCUAAAGGCAUGAGGCCUAGUUGCUCUUCAACCAAUUUAGCAUUCUAAAGGCAUGAGGCCUAGUUGCUCUUGAACUCCUUUAAGCAUAGGUAUGGUCCUAAUUCUAAGUCCUUUCUCCUUUAUGCAUUGGGUUCACACAAACAAAGACAAAACAAACACAAGGCAAAAAUAUAUUUAUAUACAAUAAUGAGCUCAAAUGAGCAAAAGGAAAAUGACAUAAACAUAAAAUAUGUGCUCGAGUGAGCAAAGUAAAAAGCAAUAUGAAUAAAUGAGCAAGAAAGUAGAUUGCAUUAAAGUAAAUUGCAAGAAAUUAAAUGCUCAAAUUAAAGUUAGUAAUUAGUGGUUAUGUUAGUGUGUCAUAAGACAAUUUAGCGCUAUGUUAAGCAAUCGUAAUUGGACUUAUGUAGAAGUCACAACUAUCUGAGGCCGGUCAAUAAUAAUGUAGGCAACAACACAAGUUAGAAGUCUUGAUUAGUGAACCAAGUUCCAACAACUUGCCAUGCCAAAAAGAAGAAGAGAAUUGAUCUUGUAUUGGUUUAAGUCUUUUGCAUGAUUUAGGAAACAACCUAUCCUUAAUGCAAAGCCAUUCANNNNNNNNNNNNNNNNNNNNNNNNNNNNNNNNNNNNNNNNNNNNNNNNNNNNNNNNNNNNNNNNNNNNNNNNNNNNNNNNNNNNNNNNNNNNNNNNNNNNNNNNNNNNNNNNNNNNNNNNNNNNNNNNNNNNNNNNNNNNNNNNNNNNNNNNNNNNNNNNNNNNNNNNNNNNNNNNNNNNNNNNNNNNNNNNNNNNNNNNNNNNNNNNNNNNNNNNNNNNNNNNNNNNNNNNNNNNNNNNNNNNNNNNNNNNNNNNNNNNNNNNNNNNNNNNNNNNNNNNNNNUAUGUUAAGCAAUCGUAAGUGGACUAAUGUAGUAGUCACACCUAUCUGAGACCGGUCAAUAAAACUAUAGGCAAAUAAACACAAGUUAGAGAUCAUGACUAGUAAGCCAAGCUCCUACAACUUGCCAUGCCAAAAGAAAAGAGGAAAGGCCUUGUGUGGACUUUAGAUUUUUUGCUUGACCAAGAAGCAACUUAUCUUGGACACAAAGCAACUCACUUGGUCAUGGAUCAAGUUGAGUUCGAUUUGGAUCAAAGAAGGUUAAACCUCUCAUAUGUCAAGACAAACCAUAAGACAUUAACUCAUUGGCCAAAAAUAAAAAGAAGUGAGAUGAAGAUGAAAUGGACAUAAAGAGAAAUAAAGUGUCAAACAUAAUUGGUCAAAAGUGAAUCAAAUCAUCAUCAACCAAUGCUAAACAUAAGAGAAAUGAAGAUUAGAAGUCAACAAGUCAAAUAUAUUUUUUUGUAUUUUUGGAAUUUAAAUAAAUGCAAAAUUAAAAUGGAAAAAAUAUGGUCAAACCUCAAAUUCAAUUCAAAUCAACUUGAACAAGUCCAAUUAAAUUCUCAUAGGUCUAACAUGGUCAAACAAGGUUUGACAAAAAAUUUCAACAAUUUUUGAAAUCAAAAACUAUUUUAAAACAAUUAAAAACAACAAAAAUAACACAAUAUGAAUUAAAAUCUCAAUUAAAUCUCAAAUCAAUUAAGAAAUUGAUGAGACUAUUUUUCAUUGACUUAUCAAGCUCCACAUGUGUUAAUUAAGAAAAUAUUUUUGGAUUUUUCAGAUAUCAAAAAGUAUUUAAAAUGAAUUAAAAACUAUUGAAAACCAAAUAAUUCACAAAAAAUAUUAAAUGAAGUCAGAAAAAUAAUUAAAAAUCAGAAUAUGAAACUAGAUUUUUCAAGAAAAAAUUUGGUGUUGGUCUCAUAUUUUUGUGACUUCAAAUAAUAUAUUUAUGAAUUUUUGAAAAUAAAAGGAAAUAAAGGAAAUUAAAACAGAAAAUAGAAAAUAGCAAAAAUCAGCGCCCAUUGGAUUCGUCUCAUUAAUUGACGUGGCAUGAUCACACGGCUUAGAAGCACUGGUGCAGGAAGAACCUUAGUCAAGCGCGCAACAUUUGUAAUUAAAAUAAGUCAGCCAAAUGAAGGGACACGAUUAUAACAUUUGAACAUCAUCCAAUGGCUCUGGUGAUCCCACGUGGGGAUGGUGGUGGAAACCACCAUCUUCUCCGGCAAGCUAACUGGUUUCGGCCACCACGCGCAGGUUUUUCAACCUCAAUGAAAAUGAAAAACAAUGGUAUCAAAAUGAAGCUGGGGUGAUGUACAUCACCCCUGUAACCUUGGAUCUUCCUCAAUGUUUCUAUUUAGAGAGAAACAAGAGGUUGAAGAUCACGGUGUUUGAUCUGAAAUGUCAUGAUUCAUGAAAUUAAGACCACCACUGGCCUGCCUCUUGCCCGAAGACUUCAGAAAACAGUUCAAACUCAAGCAAUUCACAGUGUAUUGCAAGAUCUAGAUCCAAAUAGUUUAGUGAUAUACCUCUGAAAUGCAGCUUCGAACAACACGAUUUGCUCAAGUUCUUGAUCCAAUUUUGAUCUGGAGAUGUGAUGGUGAUGCAAGGCUAAGGAAUUAAGACUUGAAGAUCAACUAAGGAUGUUGAAAUUCAAGCUUGAAAUUGAGAAGUGAAAACUGAAAUUCCUUUGAGUGAGGGUGAGGUUUCAAUCCACCAGAGUUUUAGAUCUCCUUCAGGUUGAAAUUUGAAUGAGCUAGCACUUCUAUUUAUAGCUGGAGAUGAUGCAAUGGGGUGCUUUGCUCGUGUGCAUGGAACUUGGACUCUUCAUGCAUGGGCCUGUACAGGCGCGUGCAAAGCCCAAAAAUGGAUGAAAAUGCAAGAUGAACUCAAAUGCAAAUGGUUUGGACGUGUAAUUGGAGCUGCAUUGGCUUGUGCAUGAAGUUGUGAUGUGAAUUGCAUAAUUGAACCUAAACAUUGAGCUCUUCGAAACUCAUACAUGAAAAAUCCAAAAAAUGGUCAUGUGAGUAAUGGUUGGAAAUCUAUUGACAUAAGGAACAAAAGUCAUGUGGGGCAAAAACUCAUUUGGAGUUUGGAAAUUUAUGAAAACUGGCUUUGAAGUUUGGGGUACAAAACAUGUCUUUGAAAAAUUUGCCAAAACAAGCAACUUCAAGCCCUUCUGUUUCAAUUAUGCAAACCUCAAAUGGAAAAACCCUCAAUGUUACAGUUGUAGAUAUUUUCAAGAUGAUCAAUUUGCAUCAUUUGGAUUUUUAAUAAGAAAGUUAUAGGCACUUGAAGUUGGACAUUUUUCAAAUUCAAUGGUUUUGAUCCAAAGUGACCUAUAAUGUUUUGUAUUAUCACAUGUGUUUAUUUUAGGAUUAUGAAUUUUUGUCCAACAUAACAUUUUAAGAAGACAUCUUAAUAUUUCCAAUUCAAUUUGUCUCACCUCAAAAUCAUAAAAAAUAAGGAAGUUAGGUUCUUGGGAUGUUGACCCAAAAUUAGGGUUUCAGACAAAAUGACCUAUAAUAUUUUGAAAUGAAUGGUGACCUUACAUGUUUCAAAUGGAUUUGUGAUGAACAUUAAAGUUGUUCAUAUGGUUGUUAAGAACAGUUUUUAUCUUUCGGUAAUUUUCAUUUGACAAACAUAUCACAAGUUGUGUCUCAGUGAUCCUCAGUUUAGUCAGAUGACUUGGCUGGUCAACUUCUCAAGGCCAAACUUCAAAUCUUGAUGAAUGAAUGAUUGAGGAUACUCACAUAGGAUCAUAUAUGCAAAAAAUAAUGAAUGAAAUAACUUCCCUUAAUUGAAUUUGAUCAUAGGUUGAGGUUGCUUCAUGAGCAAGGCAGAAUCAAUGCACAGUUGAAUUAAGGUUUCCUUGGGAAACAAUCAGCAAGCCCUUUGGGUUAUCUUGAUCAAAUUGGCAAAUUGAGAUAUUUGGGAAACAUAUAUGAUGAUUAGGAGCUUUGUGAACCAUUGUCAUGCUUGCUUUCCUCUUCAUCUAGCCACUUCAUUGAGCUUAGGAGCCUCCUAGGAGCAAAGGAACACAUGAUCACUUGAGCUUCAAAACAAAGAGAGUUAGUGANAUUUUCAAGAUGAUCAAUUUGCAUCAUUUGGAUUUUUAAUAAGAAAGUUAUAGGCACUUGAAGUUGGACAUUUUUCAAAUUCAAUGGUUUUGAUCCAAAGUGACCUAUAAUGUUUUGUAUUAUCACAUGUGUUUAUUUUAGGAUUAUGAAUUUUUGUCCAACAUAACAUUUUAAGAAGACAUCUUAAUAUUUCCAAUUCAAUUUGUCUCACCUCAAAAUCAUAAAAAAUAAGGAAGUUAGGUUCUUGGGAUGUUGACCCAAAAUUAGGGUUUCAGACAAAAUGACCUAUAAUAUUUUGAAAUGAAUGGUGACCUUACAUGUUUCAAAUGGAUUUGUGAUGAACAUUAAAGUUGUUCAUAUGGUUGUUAAGAACCGUUUUUAUCUUUCGGUAAUUUUCAUUUGACAAACAUAUCACAAGUUGUGUCUCAGUGAUCCUCAGUUUAGUCAGAUGACUUGGCUGGUCAACUUCUCAAGGCCAAACUUCAAAUCUUGAUGAAUGAAUGAUUGAGGAUACUCACAUAGGAUCAUAUAUGCAUAAAAUAAUGAAUGAAAUAACUUCCCUUGAUUGAAUUUGAUCAUAGGUUGAGGUUGCUUCAUGAGCAAGGCACAAUCAAUGCACAAUUGAAUUAAGGUUUCCUUGGGAAACAAUCCGCAAGCCCUUUGGGUUAUCUUGAUCAUAUUGGAAAAUUGAGAUAUUUGGGAAACAUAUAUGAUGAUUAGGAGCUUUGUGAACCAUUUUCAUGCUUGCUUUCCUCUUCAUCUAGCCACUUCAUUGAGCUUAGGAGCCUCCUAGGAGCAAAGGAACACAUGAUCACUUGAGCUUCAAAACAAAGAGAGUUAGUGACAUAUUUUUGUGCUUUUGGUUAGAAAAAAAAUAAGAAAAGAAAUAAUAUACAAUUCAAGUAUGCUUGGUGGUCUCAAACCACUCACACAAGUCCCACCCAAGGGUUAAGGAGCCACACAUGCAUGAUCCUUGAGGCAAUCAUAUGAGCAAAUGAUAUAGAUGCCAUGAGGAUUUAGGUCAAAUUUAGGGUCUAUACCUCAAUCCAAAACGAGAUUCACAACUUUGGAAGCUAUGCUUCAAUCCAUAGAUUGAUCUUUUGGGCUCCUUCUGGUAUGUCAAAUCCUUCAGGCUGUGUCAUGUACACAUCCUCAAGAAGAUUCCCAUUAAGGAAAGCAGUUUUGACAUCCAUCUUCCAUAUUUCAUAAUCAUUAUAUGCAGCAAUAGCAAGUAAAAUCCGAACAGAUAUAAGCAUUGCAACUGGUGAAAAGGUUUCAUCAUAGUCAACCCCAUGAAUUUGUUUAUAUCCUUUUGCAACCAGUCUUGCCUUAUAGGUAUGUACCUUACCAUCCACGCCAGUCUUCUUUUUGAAGACCCACUUGCAUCCUAUAGGGUUAACUCCUACAGGAGGCUCUACCAAGGUCCAAACUUGGUUUGUGUACAUGGAAUCCAUUUCAGAUUUAAUGGCUUCUAGCCACUUCUCAAACUCAGGACCUGUUAUGGCCUCUUGGUAGGUCACAGGCUCAUCUUGAUCCAUGAGUAAUACAUCAGCUUGAUCAAUUAUGAGAUAUCCAUAUCUCUCAGGUAGGUGACGUAUCCUGCUUGACCUACGCUGGUCUUGUUCUACUUGAGCAGGUUGCUCUUCCACAACUACUUGUGUUUCCUGCUCUAAUUCUUCCAUAGGUGUAUCACCAUAUCUCUCAGGUAGGUGACGUAUCCUGCUUGACCUACGCUGGUCUUGUUCUACUUGAGCAGGUUGCUCUUCCACAACUACUUGUGUUUCCUGCUCUAAUUCUUCCAUAGGUGUAUCAAUGCUUUAUGAUUCUUGAAUUUCUUCAAGCUCUACUUUCCUCCCACUGAUUCCUUUGGAAAUAAAAUCCUUUUCUAGGAAAACUCCAGUUUGAGCGACAAACACUUUGCCCUCAGAAGUAUUGUAGAAGUAAUACCCUCUUGUUUCUUUAGGAUACCCCACAAAUAAGCAUUUGUCAGAUUUGGGCUCAAGCUUAGUUGAAAUUUGUCGUUUCACAUAAACGACUACUCGUAUUCCAAAAAUAUUCUCAAGAGAGACUCUUAUGAGUGCAGUAUCGCGUAAGAAUCAUAUCAAAUCUUACACUUGAACGACCUUCGCACUACAUCCUAAAAUAGGCCAAGAUGGGCUAGGUAUCUAAGGUUCUUGGCUUCUAAGGUUUAUAUUGGAAAGAGUAAUACCUAACCACGAUUACUCGUGUGACAUUAUUGAUCCCAACAAGACCUCCACCAAGUGAAUGGGCUUGCAAGUCAACUUGCUAACGAAUAACUCCACACAAGUCAACAAGACUAUGUCAUUCUCCUAUCAUAAGUGCACUCGAGUUCGGGUAUAAAACUCAUCUCACAAGAGACCACCAAGCACACAAGCAAUUGAUAUAUCAAGAAAUUCAUACAUUACAAACAAUACAGUCAUCCCGAAUUUGCACAAGAGAAUGUCACAAAUAAAUAUAAACAUAUAAGACAUACAAGCAAAAAGUAGGCUAAGCCCACUAGGAAAUGUUCUUCCCCAGCAGAGUCGCCACUUUUCUGUAGCGGGGUAUUCGUUACCUUAUGGUUUAUUGACUAAACCAAAAGUAAACAUAUAAUUCGAGUCGCCACCGCACUUUUAUUAAUCCAAAGGAAAAGUUAAAAAGAGAACAAAAACCAAGUAAGAAGUUUUAUCAAAUCAAAAACUAAUAAAAUGUCAGAGAUCUAGGUAAGGGGGUUGGUUAUGAGAUGGGAAGGUUUUACGCACCCAAAACAACCUUAGUACUCUAAGGGAGCCCUUUUUGCAAAUGUGUGUUGUAGGUUGGUAUUUAUGAAAAUAUGUGCAAUAGAUUGGGGGGAUGAUAAGAGAAUAUUAUAUUUACAAAUUUUGUUGUUUGAAUGGAUGAACCCAUUGCCUACAUACCAUCACAAAGGUAGGAUCAAAACCUCGUAGUUCGGGGUAAAAAUCUCAAAAGAUUGGUGAGUUGAUUUGUCCAAAAGCCUUAAAGGUCUUUUUUUA